ACAGGCUUAACACAUGCAAGUCGAGGGGCAGCAUUUCAGUUUGCUUGCAAACUGGAGAUGGCGACCGGCGCACGGGUGAGUAACACGUAUCCAACCUGCCGAUAACUCGGGGAUAGCCUUUCGAAAGAAAGAUUAAUACCCGAUGGUAUAAUCAGACCGCAUGGUCUUGUUAUUAAAGAAUUUCGGUUAUCGAUGGGGAUGCGUUCCAUUAGGCAGUUGGUGAGGUAACGGCUCACCAAACCUUCGAUGGAUAGGGGUUCUGAGAGGAAGGUCCCCCACAUUGGAACUGAGACACGGUCCAAACUCCUACGGGAGGCAGCAGUGAGGAAUAUUGGUCAAUGGGCGCAGGCCUGAACCAGCCAAGUAGCGUGAAGGAUGACUGCCCUAUGGGUUGUAAACUUCUUUUAUAUGGGAAUAAAGUUUUCCACGUGUGGAAUUUUGUAUGUACCAUAUGAAUAAGGAUCGGCUAACUCCGUGCCAGCAGCCGCGGUAAUACGGAGGAUCCGAGCGUUAUCCGGAUUUAUUGGGUUUAAAGGGAGCGUAGGUGGACAGUUAAGUCAGUUGUGAAAGUUUGCGGCUCAACCGUAAAAUUGCAGUUGAUACUGGCUGUCUUGAGUACAGUAGAGGUGGGCGGAAUUCGUGGUGUAGCGGUGAAAUGCUUAGAUAUCACGAAGAACUCCGAUUGCGAAGGCAGCUCACUGGACUGCAACUGACACUGAUGCUCGAAAGUGUGGGUAUCAAACAGGAUUAGAUACCCUGGUAGUCCACACAGUAAACGAUGAAUACUCGCUGUUUGCGAUAUACAGUAAGCGGCCAAGCGAAAGCAUUAAGUAUUCCACCUGGGGAGUACGCCGGCAACGGUGAAACCCAAAGGAAUUGACGGGGGCCCGCACAAGCGGAGGAACAUGUGGUUUAAUUCGAUGAUACGCGAGGAACCUUACCCGGGCUUAAAUUGCAUUUGAAUAAUCUGGAAACAGGUUAGCCGCAAGGCAAAUGUGAAGGUGCUGCAUGGUUGUCGUCAGCUCGUGCCGUGAGGUGUCGGCUUAAGUGCCAUAACGAGCGCAACCCUUAUCUUUAGUUACUAACAGGUCAUGCUGAGGACUCUAGAGAGACUGCCGUCGUAAGAUGUGAGGAAGGUGGGGAUGACGUCAAAUCAGCACGGCCCUUACGUCCGGGGCUACACACGUGUUACAAUGGGGGGUACAGAAGGCAGCUACCUGGUGACAGGAUGCUAAUCCCAAAAGCCUCUCUCAGUUCGGAUCGAAGUCUGCAACCCGACUUCGUGAAGCUGGAUUCGCUAGUAAUCGCGCAUCAGCCAUGGCGCGGUGAAUACGUUCCCGGGCCUUGUACACACCGCCCGUCAAGCCAUGAAAGCCGGGGGUACCUGAAGUACGUAACCGCAAGGAGCGUCCUAGGGUAAAACUGGUAAUUGGGGCU
rnacentral:rRNA from 1 species